rnacentral:sRNA from 1 species
CUUGGUCAUUUAGAGGAAGUAAAAGUCGUAACAAGGUUUCCGUAGGUGAACCUGCGGAAGGAUCAUUAAAGAUUCUGACCUUCGGGUCUAACUUUUCGGCUGUGCGCCUCGGCUGCACGCUAAUAAAACCUUACACACCUGUGCACAUUUCGGUCGCGAUCCUGCAUGCAGGUUCGCUUCCGCUUUCACAUACAACCACAUGUCUUGAAUGUAACAAACUAUAAAGUAACAACUUUCAACAACGGAUCUCUUGGCUCUCGCAUCGAUGAAGAACGCAGCGAAAUGCGAUAAGUAAUGUGAAUUGCAGAAUUCAGUGAAUCAUCGAAUCUUUGAACGCAUCUUGCGCCCCUUGGUAUUCCGAGGAGCAUGCCUGUUUCAGUGUCACGUAAACCCUCACACUUGUGAUGUAACAAUCUCGAGCUGCGGACUUGGAUUGUGCCGUAGUUGGCUCAUCCUGAAAUGCAUUAGCUUGUGCUUAUUAGAGUGCCUGGCAUUGGUGUGAUAAUUAUCUGCGCCUUCGCCUAAUGCCUCUUCCAAAGUGCUGCUUCUAGUCGUCCAAAUGGACAACACUUCAAACUUUGGCCUGAAAUCAGGUAGGACUACCCGCUGAACUUAAGCAUAUCAAUAAGCGGAGGAAAAGAAACUAACAAGGAUUCCCCUAGUAACGGCGAGUGAAGCGGGAAGAGCUCAAAUUUGAAAUCUGGUGGUCUUUGGCCAUCCGAGUUGUAAUCUAGAGAGGUGUUUUCGGUGCUGGACCAUGUACAAGUCCCUUGGAACAGGGCGUCAUAGAGGGUGAGAAUCCCGUCCAUGACAUGGACUACCAGUGCUGUGCGAUACACCUUCAAAGAGUCGAGUUGUUUGGGAAU